rnacentral:rRNA from 1 species
UACACGACCGUACCGCAAACCGACACUGGUGCGCGAGAUGAGUAUUCUAAGGCGCUUGAGAGAACUCAGGAGAAGGAACUCGGCAAAUUGACACCGUAACUUCGGAAGAAGGUGUGCCUUUAGUAGGUGAACCAUUUACUUGGGGAGCCCAAUGAGGCUGCAAAAAAUCGGUGGCUGCAACUGUUUAUUAAAAACACAGCACUCUGCUAAGACGAAAGUCGACGUAUAGGGUGUGACGCCUGCCCGGUGCUGGAAGAUUAAAUGAUGGGGUGCAAGCUCUUGAUUGAAGUCCCAGUAAACGGCGGCCGUAACAAUAACGGUCCUAAGGUAGCGAAAUUCCUUGUCGGGUAAGUUCCGACCUGCACGAAUGGCGCAAUGAUGGCCACACUGUCUCCUCCUGAGACUCAGCGAAGUUGAAAUGUUUGUGAUGAUGCAAUCUCCCCGCGGAAAGACGGAAAGACCCCAUGAACCUUUACUGUAGCUUUGUAUUGGACUUUGAACAGAUCUGUGUAGGAUAGGUGGGAGGCUUUGAAGUGUGGUCGCUAGAUCGCAUGGAGCCAACGUUGAAAUACCACCCUGGUGUGUUUGAGGUUCUAACCUAGGUCCAUUAUCUGGAUCGGGGACAGUGCAUGGUAGGCAGUUUGACUGGGGCGGUCUCCUCCCAAAGUGUAACGGAGGAGUUCGAAGGUACGCUAGGUACGGUCGGACAUCGUGCUAAUAGUGCAAUGGCAUAAGCGUGCUUAACUGCGAGACUGACAAGUCGAGCAGAUGCGAAAGCAGGACAUAGUGAUCCGGUGGUUCUGUAUGGAAGGGCCAUCGCUCAACGGAUAAAAGGUACUCUGGGGAUAACAGGCUGAUACCGCCCAAGAGUUCAUAUCGACGGCGGUGUUUGGCACCUCGAUGUCGGCUCACCUCAUCCUGGGGCUGUAGCCGGUCCCAAGGGUAUGGCUGUUCGCCAUUUAAAGAGGUACGUGAGUUGGGUUUAAAACGUCGUGAGACAGUUUGGUCCCUAUCUUCCGUGGGCGCUGCAGAUUUGAGGAAGCCUGCUCCUAGUACGAGAGGACCGGAGUGGACGAACCUCUGGUGUAUCGGUUGUCACGCCAGUGGCAUUGCCGAGUAGCUAAGUUCGGAAGAGAUAACCGCUGAAAGCAUCUAAGCGGGAAACUCGUUUCAAGAUUAGAUCUGCCGGGGCCUUGAGCCCCCUAAAGAGUCGUUCAAGACCAGGACGUUGAUAGGUCAGGUGUGGAAGCG